AUUGCGCCACUGUUUGGAAUCACCGCUCGAUUAAAUAAAGGGUCAAAACCUUUUCCGCCUAGGAUACUGUUUAUAUGUAAUUCAGUUAGCUUUUUAGAUGCAAUAGCCUCUCGGAUUUACUUGAACGCUUUAGUUUUUUACGAGGACCCUGUUUUUAAAACAAACAAACUGCGCUUUGAAAAACAGUUGAGGCGUUCAAAGAAGAAAAAUAUCUGCAUCCUUUUUGAGAAGAAAAAAAGUAGCGAAAAGUUUAGUCCUGGAAGUAGUCAUUUACCACUAGAAGACCUAUUUUUUGAAAGCGCUUCUCUGGUAGUGCCUGUUGUAAUAAAGAUUUAUACUUCAAAUUGGCUUUUAUGUAACUUUUGUGUAAAUAAUUUAAAUCCAUGGUGGGCUACUGCUCUCCUUUUGUUUGCACCUUGUAUGCAGUACGAAUUUCUGUUUCUCC